rnacentral:lncRNA from 1 species
UAUUGAUUACCCAUAUUCACCACCUACCUUCAGAUUCUUGACCAAAAUGUGGCACCCCAACAUUUAUGAGGUAAGAGAUAUUUGUCAUAACUUUCUCUGUGCUUUUAGUUUUUAGAUUAGUUGUUUAAAAAGAGAUGAGGAUUUUACCAGUCAAGGUCCUGAGUUUGAUCAUCAGCACCACAUAAAAUAAGUUACUUGGGCUAGAGGGCAUGGCUUAGUGGUAGAGCAUUUGCUUAGCAUGCACAAGAUCUGAAUUCGGUCAGAACACCACAGCCCCUGCCCACCUCUAAAUUGAAGUGUAUAUCUUAGUAUAUCUUAGUAAAUUGUGUUGUGCUGUAAUCACAGAGAGAUAUUCAUGAUUUUUGCUCUUCUACUUUGUAGUAUCUGGCUUAAUAAUUUAAAAUAAGGGUAGUUUUAUAAUAUGUAGUAAUUAUACUCCAGUUAAAGAUGGAGUCUUUGUAACUCAUUGCUAAGAUUAUAAUGCACAUGUGUUAACAAUUACAUUUUAAAACUUUAGUAAAGUAUUAUAAGUGUGUUGUGUGCCUGUCCUCUAACUUCAGAGCAAGGGUCACCUGUUGCUGUGAGCAGAGACUCAGCUUUUUGGGGGGAUUUCUCCUACUUGAUGUAGACUGGCUUCCUUUCAGGAGUUACUGCUGAGCAUAUGAGCCUCUUUUGGAGUAAAUCCAAGGCGAGGUUCUUCUGUGGACACAUCUGUGUGCCUGAAGACAGCAUUUCUGCUAGGACUGUUGGUUGAAACAUGAAACACACUUAGCUUUGGGCUAAAUCAAGACAAUACUGAGUAAUGUGUUAGCCUUUCCUAUGAGGUGUCUUCAUUGCCUUUCCUUUUAUAUUUGAGACCAGCUUUCCUAAUGUAUUUUAGGCUGUCUUUCCACUUGUCCUUGGAACCUCCCACGUGGGGUUCUGGGCAUGCACAGUUUUUGUUUUUCCAGCCAGAACAAACCUAACAAAUGGUGAUGUGUGGUUACCUCUUCAGAAGCAGCCUCCUUUACUGUUUAACCUAAUCCUAAGGACCUGCAUGCUCAAUGAGCAGAGGCACCGCAGCUUGAGUUUAUAACCUACAUGGUGCAUUGUGGAUGGAGAGAACUGACUCUUGAGAGUUGUCCUCUGGUCUUUACACGUACCAUGGCACCCCUCCCUCAGUAAAUACAUACAUGUCAAAAAACAGCAGCUGGGGCCAGCAUCGUGGCUCUGCCUUUAACCGCGACAGAAGCAGGUGAGUCUCAGUUGGAGGCCAGUCAUGACUACAAAGAGUGUUCUGGGAUAGUCAGGGACACAGAAAAACCCUUUAUGGGAUGGCCCAAAAGGAAGUAAACUUUACUGUAAUAUUUGUGAAUUUAAUUAUUUUAAAAAUACUAUGUAAAAUUAAUGAAGAUGAAGAAGGAAUAUAGAAAGAAAGAAAUUUAUUUUGAGCCAUAGAGAUGAGUCAGCAGUGAAGAGCGCAUACCACUUUCGCAGAGGGGCCCGGUUACGCUCCUGUUGUUGUCAAGUGCAAGUGCAGAACUGUAGCACCAGCUCCAGGGAUCUGACACCGUAGUGUCUGCAGGCACCUACGUUCUCAUGCAUAUAACUGAAUCCUACAUACUCAGAAUUAAAGAUGCAUCUUUAAAAACAAAAUAAAUUUAACACGGACCUGCCGUCAGUGAUUAUACUGUACAGUAAGAUUCCUUUCUGCAUGGGGCUGGAGAGAGGACUCAGUGCUUAAGAGCCCUGUGUGCUCUUCCAGAGGUCCUGAGGUCAAUUCCCAGCAACCACAUGAUG